AGAAUUAUAUACAUUAAAACUUAUUUUAUAGCAGAAGUACAAGAGAACCAGGCAGUAACACAGAUGAAAGAUGCUGUUGCUGAAAGAUCCAGUCAAGCACAUAAGACUAAACUGACUUUGAAUGAUCAGCCUCCUUAAAAAUGCAAAUCAAAUACAGGUUUUUGUCAGCUUAUUUGGAAAUCGUAGGACAUCACUGAUUUGAUCAAGAACUCACCCAGCGUGAAGACCAGCCAUGUGCCUCACUUGUCAUGACAUUAUUAAAGCACUUUGUGACAGUUGGAAGAUGGGAUUUAAAACAUGACAUGGCUCUAUAUUACGGCAUUAGAGACCAAUCCAGGUUUACGUAUAAAGCGAAGGAAAACAGUCAAGCAUCAUUUGGAG